rnacentral:rRNA from 1 species
ACGCUCGACACCUACGGGAGACAGCAGUGGGGAAUAUUGCACAAUGGGGGAAACCCUGAUGCAGCGACGCCGCGUGAGUGAAGAAGUAUUUCGGUAUGUAAAGCUCUAUCAGCAGGGAAGAAGAUGACGGUACCUGAGUAAGAAGCCCCGGCUAACUACGUGCCGGCAGCCGGGUAAUCUGAGCGGGCUGGCAAGGC